rnacentral:rRNA from 1 species
UACGUAGGCAGCAAGCGUUGUUCGGAAUUACUGGGCGUAAAGAGUGUGUAGGCGGUGCUCUAAGUCUGUUGUGAAAUCUCCCGGCUUAACCGGGAGGGUGCGGCGGAAACUGGAGUGCUUGAGGGUGGGAGAGGUAAGCGGAAUUCCUGGUGUAGCGGUGAAAUGCGUAGAUAUCAGGAGGAACACCUGUGGUGUAGACAGCUUACUGGACCACUUCUGACGCUGAGACACGAAAGCGUGGGUAGCAGACAGG